rnacentral:rRNA from 1 species
CGAACGCUGGCGGCGUGCUUAACACAUGCAAGUCGAACGGAAAGGCCCUGCUCUUGUGGGGUGCUCGAGUGGCGAACGGGUGAGUAACACGUGAGUAACCUGCCCUUGACUUUGGGAUAACUUCAGGAAACUGGGGCUAAUACCGGAUAGGAGCUCCUGCUGCAUGGUGGGGGUUGGAAAGUUUCGGCGGUUGGGGAUGGACUCGCGGCUUAUCAGCUUGUUGGUGGGGUAGUGGCUUACCAAGGCUUUGACGGGUAGCCGGCCUGAGAGGGUGACCGGCCACAUUGGGACUGAGAUACGGCCCAGACUCCUACGGGAGGCAGCAGUGGGGAAUAUUGCACAAUGGGCGGAAGCCUGAUGCAGCAACGCCGCGUGCGGGAUGACGGCCUUCGGGUUGUAAACCGCUUUCGCCUGUGACGAAGCGUGAGUGACGGUAAUGGGUAAAGAAGCACCGGCUAACUACGUG